AGCCUCGGUAAAUUUGGGUAAACAAGCUUGAAAUCAAGGAUUUUUGCGUUAUCCUUUUUCCUGGAUUUGUGUUUUCGUGGUUCAGUUAUCUGAAACAAAAUUAGGACAAAUGAGAAUGACAUCGUCGACGAAAAUCAUGCUCAUCGCCUGCGGGUCCUUUAGUCCGCCAACUCCGAUGCAUUUUCGGAUGUUCGAGAUAGCCCGGGAUCACAUCCACCAAAUGGGCCUGGGCCAGGUGGUGGGCGGGAUUGUUUCGCCCGUACAUGACUCAUACGCCAAAAAGGGACUCGUUUCGGCAACUCAUCGUUGUGCUAUGAUAAAGAUUGGACUGAAGUCUUCGGAGUGGAUUCGGCUCUCCGAUUGGGAAACGCAGCAGGAAGAGUGGACAAGAACCCGCCAGGUGCUUCAGUAUCACCAGAAUUUCAUAAACUCUUACCUGAAAGAUACAAAUGGGACCAUCAACAACCAGCACAUUCCGGCGUGGAUACCAGAGGGAAUUAAAAAGACGGCUGGCCAGGUUCACCUGAAGCUGUUGUGUGGCGCAGAUCUUCUCGAAUCCUUUGCAACCCCCGGACUGUGGAAGGACGAAGAUCUAGAAGCCAUUCUCGGUUACCACGGCAUUGUGGUGAUUUCGCGUGCCGGAUCUAAUCCGGAGCAAUUCAUCUUCAAUUCCGAUCUAUUGACUCGUUAUCGCCGCAAUAUAACGAUAGUGACGAACUGGGUAACAAACGACGUCAGUUCGACGCUCAUCCGACGACUGUUGGGCCGUGGGAUGUCGGUCAAAUACCUGUUGGACGAGCACGUGACGGAGUACAUUCAAAAGUUUGGUCUUUUCGGGUGCAAUAGCGAGACUAAGUACAUUUUAACACCGGGAAGCACAACGGAGGCCAUGAGUAUUUCGCCAAUCUCUCCGAUCAACGAUCCGGACAUCUAUAUUGAGCACCGGAAUCGAAUGAACAAACGGAACUCUUCGUUCGAAGCGAUGGAUGAAACAGAUUUUCCGUCACCACCGCUUCCAUCUCCCAGUGCGGGCAGUAAUGUUACUCUCAACAAGGUAUUUUGCUGCGCAAACGAAUCGUCGACGGGACAGCUGGCAAAACCGAUCAGUGGACGAGGAGCUACGUUUCUUGGUCGACCAGGAAGUGCUGUACAGAUUAUAACGACCGCAGCUCCUACUCCUGCACCACCAUCGGUGACGACACCGGAUGGAACCACAAAACAGGCCCACCAAGUCAGCGGCUCAUCCGACGAUAGCGACCAGAAGCAGAAUAAGGUGGGUGAAAAACCGUCGCUUAGCGGUUCCCCUCGACGAGUAGUCGGCUCGAUGGAAGGUGUCAAUUCCACCUCUAGUACACACGCUAUCAACAGCACGCAAAUCGAAGACAAUAAGGCGACAAUACACCACCCUUCGGUCAAACACACAAACCCCAGCACCACCUCCAUUCCAUCUAAGCAACCGACUUCGAGCAGCAGUAGCAACCGUCUAGGAGCUACUUUAUGCACAGGCACAAGUACCGGCACAACGAGCACCACCGGCACCAUAGCAACGGCUGCUUCGACCGGACGAAUCAGUCCAUCGCGCAGCUACGACGAUAUGAUCAAAUUUGUGUUCACCGAACACGGCAUUAAGGUUAUUAGUGAUCGAGAGUAUGUAGUGUAGAUGCGAGCCACAAUGGCCGUUGGCAAGCGCUAGCAACGCUUUCUUAGUCGCGAGAUCGGUUCCCACGGUGCCCUUAUAUCCCCAUCGUGAAAAAGAUGAAGACAUCCGCUGCUUGUCCGGUCUCGCGGGUCUAGGGAGUUUGUCAAUUUCGCUACAACAGGUGCAGCGAUAGCAUAGAAUCUCCGUAGCAACCACUGCACACUUUCAAACGCAUCAACGCAGGCAUUUCUUCACGGCGGCUUAUCCGGGUGAUUUUUAACUCAAACUUAAUCCCGAGGAUAUAUUUGGAUGUUCCUUAAGUUUCGUUCCAAAAGCUUGUUAGUAUUUAUUCAACCUGUUAUUAGAUUUUCCUAUUCCCGUUGUCCCCGGGCCUGGUAGCUCUCCUUCUACAGCUCCUCUUGGUAAACCUCUAAAGACAGAAAAAGAGUGGUGAUAGACAAAUGGAAUCGAGGAGGCGCUCUCGGUGUGCAAUACUUUUUUGGUAGAAACCGUAUUUGAAUGUGAUUAGAUCGAAGACUUAAUAAAAGAUAAGUAGUAACAACA